rnacentral:tRNA from 1 species
GGCGCCGUAGCUUGGAAGAGAGAAGCGCUCGUCUAGCGAAUUAGCAGUCGUGGGUUCGAUUCCCAUCGGAGCAA